UACAGAGGGGGCAAGCGUUGUUCGGAAUUACUGGGCGUAAAGGGCGCGUAGGCGGUUUGCUAAGUUGAAUGUGAAAACUCUGGGCUUAACCCAGAGCCUGCAUUCAAUACUGGCAGGCUAGAGUUCUGGAGGGGAUAGCGGAAUUCCUGGUGUAGCGGUGAAAUGCGUAGAUAUCAGGAGGAACACCGGUGGCGAAGGCGGCUAUCUGGACAGAGUCUGACGCUGAGGCGCGAAAGCUAGGGGAGCAAACAGG
rnacentral:rRNA from 1 species